CCAAGCUGUAUUUCCACAACUGAGGGCUGCUCAGUCUGGAAACUGGGACCAAGGCUGGCUCCACCACAAAGUGCUUCCAGGGACCAGGGUUGGCCCCGCCACACAGAAGCCCUCUGGCCAUGCUGGAGAGUGAUGUCAUGGCCAACAGCCUCCAGCUGUCCCUGGGCCCCUCCGAGUGUUGUUUAAUGAAUGUAGUAGCCACAAGGAAAAAGUGAUCCAUGUCCGAAGAUCUACAAGCCACUCCAAUUGUGCUACCAGAGAGAGACUCUGAGAAGAUGCAGGACCUAAGAGCACUACUCAUAAGGCAAUUGCAGCCAACUACCUGGAGGCAUGUGGACACAAUCCAGGCCAGUGCUUUGGAUUUGGUACUCCAGGUUGUUCAUCCUAGUUUAUUAAUGAAGCCGUGUGAUCUGCUGCACAGCUCCGGCUUGAAGGAGGGUAGCCACCAAAUUCCAGGGCUGGAGACCAACUAACAUGGCCUCUGGGAUAAUGCGAAUAUGUCAAGCAACAAGGAAUAUGGCAUUUAAAGCACAAGGAUUCCUCUAUUCAGGACGAAGCUCUGCCCUUUCCUCAUGCCCCUUUCCUGGCUUGUUCAGAUGAGUGUCUGCAAUUUCUUGACCUACCAAUUAGUUCCUGAAUGAGCAGGUCGGAAAACCACCCCAUGUCACAUCCAUGGCUAAUACCCCACUUGUGGGACCUUGACCCCAGCCAGCCUCUUCACGGCACUCUGUGUGAUGAACAGUUCCAUGCCAGGCUAAUUGCAGUUUGUGUGUUAAUCCCCACUCGGGCUUUCUCUGUUGACUCUGGUGCCAUCUCAGACGCUGAUUAUCUGUGGCCUGUGUGCGUGAACGUGCACACGUGUGCUCCCGCGUGCAGGCAUGCUGAGCCUCUCUGGGUAGGAGCCACUCUGACCUGCAAGAACAGCUGUGAGUGUGACCCUCAUCUCUACAUCUAUCUGUACCAUCGGCUUACUUCCCGUGAUUUAGUCUACACCUGUGAUUCUGUCUAUAUAAUGUGUAAUAAAAUGGUAAGGAAAAUAAACAUGCUCCAACUGAUUGCUUUGCCUUAUAAAGGCAAAAAACUAAGCCAAUUGCUUGAGUCUCAUUUACAUAAAAAUUAAAUUUGACCUAAUUGUUCUGUUUGUGUAAACAGUUGGUAAUGAUGACUCAGCCUGGUCAUCCGUAUUGGUGCUGGUGGAUUUCGUCUGAAGCUGCCCCCAGCGAGGCCCUCACCUGUCACUGUGCUUCCUACAGCCUCACGGCGAGCUGUUUCCUGAGUGGAACGAGUUCAAUAAUGUGGGUGAAAAAGGUGAGACGUGUUGGGGUUUUAUGAAGUGUUCUCCUAUGUUUGAUUUACAUUUCUGCAUUUUUAACUCUUAAUCUAGAAAGGUAUCUAUUCAUAUUUUAAAUUACUUAUUCAGUUUAAAACAGUUUGUUGAGAAUCUCAUCUGAACAAUAACCCUCAAAGCUUCAUUCAUUCAUUCAACAAAUAGUUGAGAGAGCUCUGUCUGGAGAGCUUUCUGAACCUCUUUAGAAAAAAAAAAAAAAGUGUCCUUCCCAGCCCUUGAAGAGUGCUACUGCCCGUCAGACAGCAAACCCAGCACACAUGUGUGCUGAGGCUUCAGUGCGGCACGUUCUCCAGCUAAAUGACACCCACUCACCAGCCUCAGAGAGGGGAGGAUGCCGAUUUUAGCUUCCAGAAUUGACGAGUGUCUGCUGGCCUUGCUAACAGUGAAACUGAAUUGAAGACCAUGAAUGUCCCUGCUGCUAGCAGGAGCAUGCUGCUCAGUGUCCUGGGAGCUGCAGCCUCCUCCCCCACCCUGUGUUUCCCCUGCUGAAUAGAGAGGCCCCCUGUGUGCGGGGGCUAUGGGCACCAGGGGUCCGUGGCGAGUGAGAAAAGUCCCUUCCACCUGGUCUGCAAGGCAGAGGAGCAACAGCAGGAUGAAACUCUGUGAUGAAAAUUUAGUUUAGGGGCCUACUUUAGCUUGGAGGGUCAAAGAAGAUCCCUCUCUAGAUGUGACUUUGAAGCUAAAAUCAAAUGAGGAUGAAGAACCAGCUUUGCAGAAACAUAAGCAAGAGCACCCAGUGAGUAAAGAACGGAGGAUGGAGCGUAAGAGGCCCCUGGCUCCCCGGGGCCAGCAGACGAGACAGCAGAGACUUGGGAAAGCAUUUGUGUUUUUUAAAUGAUGAUAGAAAGUCAGUGGAGGGUUUUAAGUGGGAGACUAGUAUGGCUAGUUUAAGGUGCUAAAAGUUCCUUCUAGAGGAGAGAGUGCAUACUGGGGGGGCAAGGAAAAGCAGGAAGAGCCUUCAGAAGAUCCAGCUACAUUUGCAGUUGAAAUUUCCUACUGACCCUCUACUGAGCUCUUAGCUAACGACAUCCUCUGCUUGCUUACACAAAGUCCCCACCGACCCUCAGCCCGUGGUGUGGUCGGUCAGUCCAAAAAGCUGUGACCACCUCGCGGGGCCCAGGAGAAGGCACGUGCCAGUUGCAGAGGAGGGGCAGGCUCGGUGUCUGUCAUGCAGGGCGCGCCGUGUCCGCAGCAGCAAGCUGGAAGACACGGGGUGAAGCCUUCCUACCGCGGAAAGGAACCCGCUCUCUGUGAAGCAGAGGACUUUGCUCCUAAGAUGCCAGCACAGCUGUAAAUGACAGCAAAAACAUUGCAGUGACUUUCUCUUAGCCAGGAAAGUCAACCCAAAGUCAUCAUAGCAAGAAAUUGCUUUAUGCUGAGAGCAGUAUACAGUGACGGUUGGAGUGUUUAUGACCCCAGCCCUCUUCAGAAGCUUCGCCGAACCUUCAGAAUUCGUGGAGACAGAUGCAGGUUUGAGUGUGACGGUGAACUUGUAUUGUUUCCUGUAGACUCAGCAUCCAGCCCACCCUGCCUCUCUCUGGGGGCUGCUCUCCUGGGAACACCACCCCCAGCCCCCACCCUCUGAGUAAAGCAAUGGUCUGAACAGUGAAUGUGAGACCCAGCGGGGCCCGGCCCAGGCCCUGUGGCAGCUGAUGGGCAGGAGAACCUGUCUCUCGGCUGAACUCUGAGGCUGCACAUUCAAGGCUGUUCUUGGCCAGCUCUCCUGCCAUGUGGAGUCUGUCUGUCUACAGAACAAAGUCAAAUGGACACAGAAGAAGAAAUGGAAAACAGAUGUGACGAGACAGAGAGAGAAAGAAAGGGGGAGAGAGAGGAAUCCUGGAGGCCCAGACUCCCUUGUUCUGGUCCUGGGGUCCCUGCUUGCUACAGUUUUUUCAAUCUGUAAACUAAUCCUGUCUUCCUUCUCUGCCAGGAGAACUAAUAAAUCCAUAUUUUGCAUAAGUCAUUUGACAUGGGUGUCAGUCACCUGAAAUGAGAAUAGCUCUCACUAAUGGCAAUUGUUAUUCAUGUUUUGUGAAAGCUUGGAUCUUUCUGUGUUUCGGAGAUGCCAAGCACUGGGCCAGUCCCACCUCCCCAUCAUUGGUUCAUCUGGAUAAGAGAAAUUCAGUACGCUGGCUUCCUCCAACUCAGAAAACUGCCUUCAAACACCACCCUUGACUCCUCUAAAGUCAUUUUGCUCGUUGCACCUGUACUAAACAUCAGUCAGAAUCAGGGUGGGUGACUCGAGCUGAUCAGAACAGGGCCGCGUCCUGGGCAAGCUCUGCCUUCUGCCUUAUCUCCCAGCACAAUUCUCUGUGACUCCUAGGCAGCCCCUGCCUUUCUGAACCACGCUGACCGGCUUAUUUCUCCAGAUGUUUUGUGAUCUCAUCUCUUAUUAAUGUCUCGAGGACUUUGCCACAUGGGGUCAGACAGACUGUCUCCCGCUUGCUGCUUGUCAUCUGCUCCCUUUCUUAAAGACCGGACUUCGCGAUUCUUCAAUCUGUCAGGGUCUUUCCUUUCAAGAGCAAUCCUCUAAAAAAAUUCAUUAUUGAAUGAAUAAUCACCUUAUGAAUGAUUACAUACUGUUUAACUAAUAUUUAACUUUAACUAGUCCUGUGACACCUUGCUUGUUUUUGGCCUUUCUGUUAUAAUACUCAGACCCACCUUUUGUUCACUUUGGUCCGAGCGCAGUUCUCAAUCUGGCAGUUCUCCUGCUGCUGGAGUCCUGGAUGAACCAGCCACACACACAAAGUGACACCCUUUGGGCAGCCUUUUCCCCCCACAGAGCUGAGCUUCCUUUUGUGACCUGUUGCAGUCCAGACAGAAAACCAGGGAAGCACAGUGCACAUGCAUGGACACACACACACACAGCAAGUGCAUUUGCAGUCGGGCGCUCAGUGGUGGCUGGAAUUCCAAUCUGGGGUCUUUCUCCUCUUUUAACGUGGCUGUGUUCCGUCAACCCUCCAAUACACCACUGGGGAAAUGUGCUUCUUUGUCUGAACACCUUCUACCUGGAAGUGCAGUCUGGAGAGUAACUGUGGUUUCUCUUGACGCAUGAAGACACGGCCUUGAUGACAUGGUGCCUCAGUCUCCCCACUCGACACCCAAAUGCAAGCCUGGAACUCUUCAACUGGUUAUCUACUUCCUACCAAAAUGUGUGCACUUUAAAUGAAUAUUUUGCCUUAAAAGAAUCAUCUCUGCCAAGGGGAAAUGAGACUCACAGUGAAAGCAACCUCCACACUCAG